rnacentral:rRNA from 1 species
UACGUAGGGGGCAAGCGUUGUUCGGAAUCACUGGGCGUAAAGGGAGUGUAGGCGGAAAAAUAAGUUAGAAGUUUAAUUUACGAGCUUAACUCGUAGCCUGCUUCUAAUACUGUUUUUCUUGAGUAUGGGAGAGGAAGAUGGAAUUCCAGGUGUAGCGGUGGAAUGCGUAGAUAUCUGGAAGAACACCAGUGGCGAAGGCGAUCUUCUGGCCCAAUACUGACGCUGAGGCUCGAAAGCUAAGGGAGCAAACAGG